AAACUGUGCAUCGGGCAUUUUCUAAUUAACUCAUUGAAUAACUCCCAUGAUUCAUAUAAUGUUUCGUCCUCAGAUUGCCGAAAGGAAGUAAUAUCGUUCCUCAGUUU
rnacentral:snoRNA from 1 species